AAGAAAGUCUUAGGAACUGCUAACUCCUAAUUCUGACAAUAAACCUGUCAGCUCUCUUU
rnacentral:tRNA from 1 species